rnacentral:rRNA from 1 species
CAGUUGCGGGCCAAGAUAGUCAAGGUGAGCGACAGAUAGGAGCUUGCUCUUUGACGUUGCGGGGAGGCAGGGGGACACGUGGGUACCUCCUAUAGACUGGAAAACAUGCGGGAAACCGGGGCUAUGCCGGAUAACAUUUAGAACCGCAUGGUUCUAAAGUGAAAGAUGGUUUUGCCUAUCACUUAUAGAUGGACCCGCGCCGUAUUAGCUAGUUGGUAAGGUAAUGGCUUACCAAGGCAACGAUACGUAGCCGACCUGAGAGGGUGAUCGGCCACACUGGAACUGAGACACGGUCCAGACUCCUACGGGAGGCAGCAGUAGGGAAUCUUCCGCAAUGGGCGAAAGCCUGACGGAGCAACGCCGCGUGAGUGAUGAAGGGUUUCGGCUCGUAAAACUCUGUUAUUAGGGAAGAACAAACGUGUAAGUAACUGUGCACGUCUUGACGGUACCUAAUCAGAAAGCCACGGCUAACUACGUGCCAGCAGCCGCGGUAAUACGUAGGUGGCAAGCGUUAUCCGGAAUUAUUGGGCGUAAAGCGCGCGUAGGCGGUUUCUUAAGUCUGAUGUGAAAGCCCACGGCUCAACCGUGGAGGGUCAUUGGAAACUGGGAGACUUGAGUGCAGAAGAGGAAAGUGGAAUUCCAUGUGUAGCGGUGAAAUGCGCAGAGAUAUGGAGGAACACCAGUGGCGAAGGCGACUUUCUGGUCUGUAACUGACGCUGAUGUGCGAAAGCGUGGGGAUCAAACAGGAUUAGAUACCCUGGUAGUCCACGCCGUAAACGAUGAGUGCUAAGUGUUAGGGGGGUUUCCGCCCCUUAGUGCUUGCAGCUAACGCAAUAAAGCAAC